GAUGAACGCUGACAGAAUGCUUAACACAUGCAAGUCAACUUGAACUUCGGUUUGGGUGGCGGACGGGUGAGUGACGCGUACAGAACUUGCCUCACAGCUAGGGACAACAUUUGGAAACGAAUGCUAAUACCUGAUAUUAUGAUUUUAGGGCAUCCUAGAAUUAUGAAAGCUAUAUGCGCUGUGAGAGAGCUUUGCGUCCCAUUAGCUAGUUGGAGAGGUAACGGCUCACCAAGGCGAUGAUGGGUAGCCGGCCUGAGAGGGUGAACGGCCACAAGGGGACGGAGACACGGCCCUUACUCCUACGGGAGGCAGCAGUGGGGAAUAUUGGACAAUGGACCAAGAGCCUGAUCCAGCAAUUCUGUGUGCACGAUGAAGUUUUUCGGAAUGUAAAGUGCUUUCAGUUGAGAAGAAAAAAAUGACGGUACCAACAGAAGAAGUGACGGCUAAAUACGUG
rnacentral:rRNA from 1 species